GUGUCGUACCAAGUCACAUGACAUCUAGCAGCCUUCUGUUCACGACGCAUUUUGCCUUAGCCUUUUGCCGCGCCUUUACGUCUACCAACAUGAUGAAAUCUGUCGGUCUUGUCCUUCUUCUCAUAGCAACCUUUGCCUACUCCAGUGUUGAAGGCAGUUCAAACUGUGGAUCUUCAGUGGCGAAAGCCAUAUAUGAGAAACAAGUCCUCAAAGAUGCCUUGAACGCCUGCAAGUCGGAUCGUAUGGGAAGUGCAGCCUUGACUGCCCUCGCAGCCCAAGCUACCUGCAAGGACUACGAGUUCAACGAGGCCAAUGGCGGCAAGUGCGAUGAAGUUGCAGCUCCCUACAUGAAAUGUGUAGCUGGAAAACUUGGUUACUUGAAUUAUGGUGGCUCCAUCCACUACCAAAUGAUCUUUGACCAGUACAAGAGUUACGCCGUCGCUCGCGGUACUCUCUGCAAAAACCAGUACGACAACGGUGUGCGGGUCUGUGGCACUACCAUCAGCAACUACGCGUUCCUGGGGAAGGCCGGGUGCAUCAUCAAUGCGAUGUACCAGUCUGGGUGACCUGCACAAUCUGGCCCUCAUGCCUUCAUCUGAUUGGCGGCUUUGAAGUGUUCACAACAGGUUCAAAAUUUUCUGAACACUUCAAAAUGGGAACUUGGAACUUUUACACAGCUUGGACGAAAUAAUUUACAAUAUAUUAGGCGCAUGA
rnacentral:misc_RNA from 1 species